rnacentral:lncRNA from 1 species
UAUAUAAAAUUAAGCUAGAAUACUUUUAGGAGUAUUAUCUUUUUGAUAUUUUUAGGUUUCUAACUCUUGAAUUUACUUCUUGAUUAGUAAUAAUUAUUGGAUUAAACACUAUUCCAUCUACACUAUUUAUCAUCAUCAUCCCAAUUUUACAUUUUUUCACCCAAUGGUUAAAAACUCAAAAGCACCAAUCUUCUGGUGCUUUUGAGAGUAUUCUAGCUUAACUAUAUAUAUAUAUAUAUAUAUAUAUAUAUAUAUAUAUAUAUAUAUAUAUAUAUAUAUAUAUAUAUAUAUAUAUNGAUCAUAAGGUAAAUGAUGUUGAAAAAUUAUGAAAUUUAAUUUCUAGAAGUUUUAAAUGCUCUAGAUCAUAUUUAACGGAGUGGAUCGUCGAUUCGGAAGCUCCAUCAUCGAAAACAACUUAUGAGUAGUAAGGGUCCACUACUCAUAAGAGUAUAGUAGCCCUACUCUAUAUAUAUAUAUAUAUAUAUUUCGAGCUUUCGAGUUUUUCGAGCCUAAUUCGAACGAGCCGAGUAAUACUCAAGCUCGGCUUGAAAUGAAUUUCGAGCCUUUUAUUUUGUUCAAGCUCGGCUCAUUUAAUUUCGAGUCGAGCUCGAGCGAGCCGAAUAUCGAGCCGAACAUGAGUCGAACGCGAGCCGGCUCGCUCAUUUGCCAGCCCUACUAAACAUGUACAUCCAAAAACCAUGCAUAUAGAGCCGCGGAAUAGGUAACAGUCACUUUUUGGUGACCGCGACCAAUAAUAAUUAAAAAAUAACAACAACUACAACAUAUACGUACAAGUUGAUGUGGGCCCCGCGGCCCAGUAACUGUCAACUGUUGGUGGGCCCCCCAUUGGCGCCACUGCAUUAUAGUGGGCCCCACGUUUCACAUCACCCCGACUCCGGGGAAGCCCAUUAAGGGCCUACGAAGAAGGUGGGUCCCACACAACUAGCUAAGCUACAGUGCACUGCGCCUGUCGCUGUGGGGCCCACCCCAUAAUUCUCCGCGAGAUUCCAUUGGUCCGGGCCCGCAAAGGAUGUAUUCUGUUGCGUGCACCAAAUGUAUCCGUAUAUUUCAUGCACCGCUCUUCAUGUAUAGACUAUAGUACGUCCUUAAUUUCUUUUCUUUUGAGAGAGAGAGAGAGAGAGAGAGAGAGAGAGAGAGGGAAUAAGCUAAUUCCUUUUAAUAAAUUUUUUAUAUAAAUAAAUUUAAUUAAAAAUAUAAAUAAUUAGGUCCCCGAUGAUUUAGGGACUGUUGGUUUCAUUAUGCAUUAUUUAAAAAUUUUUAUAUACAUUUAUGGUGGAACUANUAUAUAUAUAUAUAUAUAUAUAUAUAUAUAUAUAGAAUUAGGCUGGAAUACUAUUAAUAGUAAAACGCUCUUUUUGCUAUCAAGUUUUUAGCCAUUGGAUGAAAAAUUGUAGGAUCAGGAUGAUAUUAGUCGGUUAGAGUAGAGUGGUCCCCCUAGGGUUGAGUGGUCCCCACUGGGUUAUAGUAUUUAAUCCAAUGGUUAGAAAUAAUGAAAAAAGUUGAUCCAAAAGCUAAAAAACUGGAAGCAAUAAUGGGAUUUUGCUACUAAUAGUAGCCCAGUCCAACUCAUAUAUAUAUAUAAUUGAGCUAGAAUACUUUAGAAGCACCAACCCCUUGGUGCUUCUAAGUUUCUAGCCCUUACCGAUCAUCCCUAGAGCAAGUGGCAAAAAGCUUUGUGGUUGAUACUCGAGACCCAAAUUCGAAUCUUAGUUGAUUCAUAUUUCCAGCUAUGUUUUUUUCUACAUGAAAUAAACGAAUUGGGUAGCGUGCUACUUAUCUCUCUCUCAAAAAAAAGAAGAAGAAGAUUUCUAGCCCUUGGAUCUACUCCUUGAUUACUAAUAGCCUUUGGAUCAAACACUAUUCCACUUACCACCACCUACCACCACCUAUCACCAUCAUCUCAACCUCACAUCUCUCCUUCCAAUGACUAAAAACUCAAAAACACCACCCUCUUGAUGUUUUUUAGAGUAUUCUAGCUUAACUAUAUAUAUAUAUAUAUAUAUAUAUAUAUAUAUAUAUAUAUAUAUAUAUAUAUAUAUAUAUAUAUAUAUAUUCUUCAUUUCUUUGCUUAUUUUUUAGGCCUAACAUGAUAUCAGAAUUAACUCUAAAUCUUUAAUUUCGUUCGGUAAGGUUGUGAAUUUAAUCCCCUCUAUUAAUAUUUAACGAGCUAUCACUAUGUAGGGAUGCAAACAGGGCGGAUCCAGAGGUGGAAGGGUUUCUCCACCUCCAGCUCCAUUUCUUAUCAAAACAGGACGGCUUUGGGGCAGAUUAUUUUUUAUUUUAUUUUUAGCUCCCACUUACUGCUCAAUUCGGGGCUGAUCGAAGUGGGAGCGGAUUUUUGACAGAUUCUUGACGGUUCGGGACGGAUUGAAGGAAGAAAAUGAUCUCCCGCUUCUCGCUCUAUUUACUUCACAAAUCGGAGCGGAUUCGAGACGGGUUAUAUUUUUUCUAUUUUUUUUUCUCGCUUAUCACUCCAUUCGGAACGAAUCGGGACGGGAACUCCACCAACCCGGAUCCAUUUGCAUCUCUGACAUCAUGUUCAUCAUGUAUAUCAUCGAUAUUUUUUAGGUAACAAGCAAAUUUUCUUUCAUUAUUUUUCUCCAAAUAAAAGUAAAAAUAAAAAAAAAACUUAAAAAUAAAAAAAAACCCCCUCAACUGAUACUAAACAUUAGGGGUGGAAACGAGCCGAGCUCAAGCGAGCUUAUGUCAGCUCAAAUUCGGCUUGAAAUUAAUUUCGAGCCUAAAUCUAGGCUCAAGCUCGGCUUGAAAUUAAUUCGAGCCGAACUCGAGCGAGCCUAAUUUCGAGUCGAGUCGAGCUCGAGCUCUAAACGAGCCGAUUGAAAUUCUCGACAUAAUAUAAUCAAUAGUUUAAUUUUUAUAGAACAUUACCUAUAAUUUGAUACAACAUGUUCAAUAAUUCAAAAUACAAAAUAAUUAUAAGAAAUGUGAGCUAGGGUGACUGCCUGACUGGGUGAGGGUCAGAGAGAGAGAGAGAGAGAGGAAAAAAAAUUAGGGAUUUGAGAAUUUGAAUAUUAUCAUGUUUUAGGGUUAUGUGCAACAGUGAAAGUCUGAAAGAGAGAGUGUGUUAUGUAAAUUUAGAGUUGGGCUCAAUUGCACGGUUGUAUGUAUGGAUUAUUUUAUGGGCAACAAUAUGGCCAAAUUAAAUUAAAGCUUAUAUAUAAUUAAAAUACAUUAUAUAUAUAUAUAUAUAUAUAUAUAUAAUAUAUAUAUAUAUAUAUAUAUAUAUAUAUAUAUAUAUAUAUAUAUAUAUAUAUAUAUAUAUAUAUAUAUAUAUAUAUAUAGAGUAGGGCUACUAUACUCUUAUGAGUAGUGGACCCUACUACUCAUAAGUUGUUUUCAAUGAUAGAGCUUCCGAAUCGACGAUCCACUCCGUUAAAUAUGAUCUAGAGUAUUUGAAAUUUCUAGAAAAUAAUUUCGUAAUUUUUUGAAAUCAUAAUAAAGUCCAUCAAGCGGGCAUAAAAUGAACGGUCAAAAUCGAACGACGUCCUAAAAUGGUAUGAUCGGAUCCCUCAAUUAACGAUCGGAGUUAUUGAUCUUUAUCUAGGUAGUGAAUAGAAUUUUCUAUCAAAAAUUCAACAUAUUUCUGAUUCUUUUCCACCGUUAAACUAGCAAGUAUCCCAUACGGCCGUUAAAAAUUGUCAAUUUUGUAAGCUUUUGAUCAUAAGGUAAAUGAUGUGAAAAAUUAUGAAAUUUACUUUCUAGAAGUUUUAAAUGCUCUAGAUCAUAUUUAACGGAGUGGAUCGUCGAUUCGGAAGCUCCAUCAUCGAAAACAACUUAUGAGUAGUAAGGGUCCACUACUCAUAAGAGUAUAGUAGCCCUACUCUAUUAUAUAUAUAUAUAUAUAUUUCGAGCUUUCGAGUUUUUCGAGCCUAAUUCGAACGAGCCGAGUAAUACUCAAGCUCGGCUUGAAAUGAAUUUCGAGCUUUUAUUUUGUUCAAGCUCGGCUCAUUUAAUUCGAGUCGAGCUCGAGCGAGCCGAAUAUCGAGCCGAACAUUAGUCGAACGCGAGCCGGCUCGCUCAUUUCGCCAGCCCUACUAAACAUGUACAUCCAAAACCAUGCAUAUAGAAGCCGCGGAAUAGGUAACAGUCACUUUUUGGUGACCGCGACCAAUAAUAAUUAAAAAUAACAACAACUACAACAUAUACGUACAAGUUGAUGUGGGCCCGCGCGCCAGUAACUGUCAACUGUUGGUGGGCCCCCAUUGGCGCACUGCAUUAUAGUGGGCCCCACGUUUCACAUCACCCCGACUCCGGGGAAGCCAUUAAGGGCCUACGAAGAAGGUGGUCCCACACAACUAGCUAAGCUACAGUGCACUGCGCCUGUCGCUGUGGGGCCCACCCAUAAUUCUCCGCGAGAUUCCAUUGGUCCGGGCCCGCAAAGGAUGUAUUCUGUUGCGUGCACCAAAUGUAUCCGUAUAUUUCAUGCACCGCUCUUCAUGUAUAGACAUAUAGUACGUCUUAAUUUCUUUUCUUUUGAGAGAGAGAGAGAGAGAGAGAGAGAGAGAGAGAGAGGAAUAAGCUAAUUCCUUUUAAUAAAUUUUUAUAUAAAUAAAUUUAAUUAAAAAUAUAAAUAAUUAGGUCCCCGAUGAUUUAGGGACUGUUGGUUUCAUUAUGCAUUAUUUAAAAAUUUUUAUAUACAUUUAUGGUGGAACUAGAAUACUAUUAAUAAUACGAAAAUAGUAUUUAAUAUCAAUUUAUUAACCAAUAGAUGCCUACAGUUUAGUAGGGGUUGGUGGAAUAGUAAAAAAGUUGGUAAUAAAUUAUUUUAUUAUACUUUUAAUAAUAUAUUAUGUGAAGGUCUCUUCCAUAUAUAUAUAUAUAUAUAUAUAUAUAUAUAUAUAGCGAGCUGGUAUGUUUCUGGAAGUAUGGAGCCUUCCGUGCUUCUAAGUCGUUUUUGAUGUUGGAACUUUCGAAUCGACGUCGGCUCCGUUAAAUUUGAUUUAGAGCAUUUGAAGUACCUAGAAAAUAAAUUUUGUAAUUUUUCGAUAUCAUUUGCCUAGUGAUCGAAGGGUCUCAAAAUCAAUAAUUUUAAUGGCCGUGGUGAGCCGUUUGCAAGUUUAACAGUAUAGAAAUAUUCAAAUCACGUAAAAUUUUGAUAGAAAAUUUUUUAUAUUAUAUAAAACAAGAUCAAUAUUUUUGAUCUAAAAUUUUAAUGUCAUAUCAUCAUAUUUUUUAAGAUUUUUAUUCUCAGCCGUUGAUUUUGAGUCAUUUUGAUGACUAGGCAAAUGAUAUAAAAAAAAUCACAAAAUUUAUUUUCUAGAUACUUAAAAUACUCUAAAUCAAGUCUAACGGAUCUGAUCGUUAAUUCGAAAGUCCCAACAUCGAAAACAACUUGGAAGCACGGAGCGCCCCGUACUUCCAGAAGCAUACCAGCCGCACUCUAUAUAUAUGCUAGCGAAAGUAUAGAGAAUUUGAUACUUCUGACUUUUUGACCCUUGGAUCAAAAAUUAAAGGUUGAGUAAUACUCCUAGGGUUGAGUAGUCGUCACAGAAUAAUAGUAUUAAUCUAAAGACUAGAAAUGAUCAUAGGGGUUGAUAUAAGAGCCAAAAAUUUAGAAGCACCGAAUUUCCUAUACUUCCGAUAGUAUAGUAGCUCCAGAAUAAAUUUGUGGCUCAAAGGGGCUCAAAAUUUUCUAUUCUAUAUGUGUGAGUAUUUUGAGUGUCCUAAAAUUAUUAACUACGUUUAAGGGCCGCAAUCGAUCCGAUAGGAAACAACUUAGAAAUAAUCUUAGUAUCCAAUCUUUGAUCACGAAUUAAAAAUUAUCAAGAAAAUCAUAUAUAUAAUGUGAAUUAAUAAAAGAGACAACGGAGGAAACGACGGACAAAGAACUAUGCAAUGGAAUUGCUAAAGUGAGAAUUAACAGGUCUUAACAUGUCUUAAGUGGGCAGUGCAUGGUGCACCGGGUGCAUGCAGUACCUUCCUUAUAAAAGAUAAGCUAGAUGUGGGACCCACAAAGGAUCUCCACACGAGGUGGGUCCCACAGGAGGUAGUCCCGCAUGGUUUUCUGGAAUCAGAAUCUUACCUACUAUAGGGCUCCCUAAGAACUCACAAAUUAAUUAAUAUUAAUUAUAUUACUAAAUUUACUUUAAUACAUCUCUCUAAGGUUCUUAAUUGUAGUUGUCUCCCUAAUUUAGCUAUUAAUUAAGUACAUUGCAUUAUCAUUUUGUACUUUGGAAUAAUUCUGCUUGGGGUUUUGCAUAGAAAAAGAUAUGGUAUCAAUAUUUUUCGUGUGAGAUUGUCGUAGUUGAUAUCUAAUGAUUAAUAUAUUAGAAUCAGGAGUGCGUUGGGUGGAAAAUAAAUGAACUAUAUGACAUUUGAAGCCAAAUUGGAUUUUUAUAUAUUUAGUUGUACAAUGAUCUUGUUUGUUAAGAAACAUAAUUGUUAGGUAGAAUAGAAGAUAUUUACCAUGUGAUACAAAUGCAUGCAUGGAGCAUGACUAGAAUUAUUUACUAUAAACACUCUUUAGAUCAUUUUUCUUUGUACAUAAAAAAUCCUCUCAUACACUGAACCUGAAAAUCCAGAUUACUUAGAUCUUAUGAUACCUGAUUCCAAACUCUUGGCCUGUAAUCAAAAAAGAAAAUACUCCCACCAAGAUGACUUAUCACCAAACAAUUUGCUCAAACAUAAUCAUUUUAGCAGGAGAUACAAAUAGUAGUACUCUAGCGCAUUUUAAUGAAGUUUUUUUUUUUUUUUUUUUUUUUUGGGUAUUUAGUUUUCUUCUCGUAGCAACGAAGCUUAAUUGCGUCAAUACUGUAGCUAAAUUCAUAUAGUGUACGGCUAUCCAGAAAAAAAAAAAAAAAAAAAAAAAAAAAAAAAAAAAAAAAAAAAAAACUCAAACAUACAAAUAAACUAUUUGGAUCCUAAUUAACCCAGUUGUUAAGGUGGGAUUAGCAUGUGAUUUGGCUAUUUAGUAGGGUCCAUUGAGUUAUCAAGUUGUCAUACACUCAUUUCUCUUGAUAAAGUGGGGUUUGGUUAGCUGUACUCCAUAAAUGCAUGGAGAUAUAUUAAAUGAAAAUUAAAAGGACAUAAAGUUACAUGUUUACUCAAGAGGGCAUAAGUUCAAAUUAUGCGAAUCUUCUAAAUCUUCCAAUUUAUUUUUUUAAUUUAUUUUUUGAACAAGUUUACAGAUACUUUUAGCUAUCAUAUUACCAAACUAGAUCUAGAUAAGCAUGGAGGGGAUUAAACUCCCGAUUCGUCGGCUAGCAACCCAGGUACCAACCAUCUGUACUAGACAGUGAUGUUCAUAUUUUGCUUUUGAAUGAAGAUUUAUUUUCAAGAUUUGCGCUUUUCAAUCAUCUUUUCCUGCAUUAAUUUGAUGGAGUAUAGGUUCCUAACAAUACAAUAAAUUCAUAUUUGGUGUUGUCUACGUGUAGUACGUUUUGAUCUGACCUUAAUUCGACUAGAUCAGAUCAUCAGAACCAAUUUGGACUUUUCUCUCAAAAAUGAAAGAAAAGAGUGAAAUAUAAGAAUAAAAGAACCCCAUUUGGGCCAAUGCAUUAGCUCUCGAAUCAUCCAAAAACAUAUCUACUAGAGGCCCAACCUCACCUGAAAUAGGGCUAAGAUUUAAGUUUAGGUGCAGGGCAUAGUACUAGUAAUUGUUUGGUGAGAGAGAGAGAGAGAGAAUGCUCUUAUCUUGUUUGGCCGCACUUCUACUUUUACUUUCAAAAGAAAAAAAAUAAUAAUAAUAACUUAGUAUAAUUGACAGAUAGAAAAUUAUAACUUUGCUGAAAAAAAAAAGAGACAAAAAUGAGAUUCUGAGUCUCAAACUUAUAUAUAGCGCUUCCCCUUAUAUUGCUUAGAUCGUACUUUAUCAAAUAACACUGUGUUCUAUAAUAUGGCCAAACACAUCCUGAACUCUUUUGAGUAUUGAUUAUUGAAAUCCUAUUUGUGUAUAUCCUAUAGGAAAUUUCCAAUGACUAUUUGCAAUUCUUUUAUUUUUUGUUGAGAGAAAAUUAACAUGCUAUGCACUUCAUUUCUUAUUUUAGAAAUAAAUUCGGCUAAAAAUGUGAAAUUAACUGACUAGACUUCAAACUUGAAACCUCAGAUACCAACCAUCAACCUCUAGGCACAAUCAGUAACAUAAAUGUCAAUUUCAAAGGUUAGAAACUGUAAAGAGAUAGAAUUAACAAAAGAAAUGUAUGCUAGGAGCCUUGGACCACAGAAAUGUAGCUUGGAGCUGAUUUUUUUGCCUAUGUUUUUGUGAAAAACAAUGCUUCAAGGCUUAAAGGAAAUCUAUCACUUCUGAAUCCCCCAAGGUUUGGAUCACAAGCAAGGAGUGAUAAGUUUAAUCCCACAGCAAAUAAAGAGCUCAUUUGCACUGAAAAAGCGCUUCUACAGAAGUGGUAUUUGUGCAAAAAUGUCUGAAAAAGAACCAGUACAGCAAAAACAGCUACUUCAUAUGUAAAACCAAUGACAUACACAAAUUGAAAAUAAUUACCUCAAGUUAUAGGGAGUCUUCUUGUUUGUAAUGAAUGGCAAGGGAGAGGUGGCGUGGCCGCAAUACUGUAUGGAUAAGCUGAUAACACAGUCGUCGAAAACGAUAACACGAUUCACUAGGGGAUAUGACAAUGGAUGUACAGACAUGAACAUAUGUGCACAAAACUACAUGUAGAAAGAGAUAAAGAUAAAGAUAUAGUGAUAGAGAUAUUCAUUCAACACGCCUCGACGCGUCUGUAGGACACCUGUGUUUACAGCUAUCAACUUAUUCUGUGUUUAUCCGUUACCGUAUCCGACAUGAAUACACAACUAGAGUGCAGGAAUUAGUAUGCGGGCGCCAUGGCUUGUUUAUAUAUUGAACAGCAUAAUGAGAAUAGAUUACAAUAGAAACUACAGUGCUGCUAACUUCGGUAGGAGAUACAACUAGUUGGUACCAGGAUAAGGUUUACAGCUGACAAAAUGUUUAUCAUUGCUAAGAAAUUAUACAAUGGUUAAAUAAUACAACAUAUAAAAGAGGUGGUUAACAUGGUACUCAAUUUUCUUACCAAAGCUUCGAGGCCGUAUAAGCGGCAGUAACAUCCAAUGUACAACAGCAAUGUGUAGGUGGUUCUCGCCCUUCUCAAUUAACUGCCACAGCUGUAGCCUCGUAGAAAAGAGCAUCGCCCUUCGGAUGCAAUAAUAACUAUAUCUUUUGUUUAAGAACUUGGCGAAGCUGAACCUUUUGGCCGUCCAUCCUUGCCUCUAACAACUUUGCCUUCAAACUGUGCUUCUGCAUGCCACGUCGCCAUUCGAUACACCCUUUCAUCCCUUUGGCUACAUUAGGGUUUAAAGAAUCCGGCGAGCUCAACUGCCCUACACUGGGUGAGCUCAUAAUCCCAUCACCUAACUUAAGAUCAGGAGAUAGUGUCGCAUUCGAUAUCCUGCCAUGCAAAACCCUCCCGUUUUGCAACUCUGUCGCCAUUUUCUUGCAAUUCUCACCGUUUGAAGAUCUCCACAGCCUAACAAUCGAAGACCCUUUCUUUCUAGACUGUCUAGUAUUAGUAGAACAAACCUCACUAAUUUCAUCGGUACCGCUAACUGAUGCAUUAUUAUCGGCAUAGACCCCAGUAACUGAUGGGUCGCUCCCUUUAGGGGAAUUACUCGAGCCCUGCUCCUCCACAUGGCUCACAGUCUCCCACCCGCUAUCUUCUUCCGCAUCUUCGUUGGUGUACCUCCUUGUUGGUUUCUCUAAGAAUAUAUCAGUCUCCGGGCUAACUGUGUGGAUUCUCGACGCAUGGCUUGUUGCAGGGCUGAAUCCGUAGCAUUGUUCGAUCUCUCUUUCAUUUGCAUCUUCUCUUGGCUGUAGUUCUUCAAACACAGAGAAGAUGUCCUCCGAAGCAGGAGGGGGCUGGUAAGUGAAUUCCUUCAUAUCGUGAAUCCUAAUUGUGCUGAUGGCUUCUCUGAGCAUUUCUGCUUCUCUAAAUGCUUCUGUGUCGGCACCAGUACCAGCUUGCGCUGCUAAAAAAGCCUCUAAAUCAGCUUGUAGGUUGCUAAGUUGCGAAUACUUGUGCUCGAGGGUCAAUUUCGCAUCAACCAACUUCAUCUGUACUCUUUCUUCACGCCAAACCUCUGCCAUUUGCAACAUCCUUCUCUCUUCCUCGACCUCCUCUCUUAUCUUCAUUGAUUCCCUCUUCAAACCCUCCACUUCGGCUUUGUCUUCUCCGAUUUCCUUGGCGAGCUCAUCGCACACUUCUUCCAUGAGCUCGCGUGCCUUUCUCUCCUUCUCAUAGUCGUGCAAGAAUUUCUUCAUGGACAAUUUGGCCUCGGUUAAUUCAUUUACCAAUUUGGAAUUUACGAUUUCCAAUCUUUUCCUACCUUUCCUCUCCCUGUUGAGAUCGUCCUUCAUGGAAUCUAUUAUAUUGCGGACCUUCUCAUGUUCUUUGAUCCUCCACAAUGCUUUUUCCUCGGCAACCUUUUUCAAGAAGUGAUCGAGUUGCUUCUUCGACGAUUUCUUCUCAGCCUCGAGCUCGAUAAUGCGGGUUCGGGCCUGCUCGAGCUCCAAUUGGAGGGAAGAAACAAAGGAAACCUCUGCACCCAGUUUAUGGAAUUGGCGAGAGUUGUCCGAAGCUUUUGAGAUCUCGGCGUCCCACUUGGUUGUUGUCUCGAUUGUGCUAUUGGUUAAAGUUUUACAAUCUUCAAGCUGAUAAAAAUACAUAGAUUAAACAAUAGAUCAAACAGAAUCAACGAAAAGAACCAAUUUUAAUGCCUACCGAAAUUGAGAAGAAAUUGUGAGUACCUUUUGCAAGAUGCCAUUCUUUCUAUCACGAGCCGUAAUCGGGAUGUGGAGGUGUCCGGAAUUGGACUGUAAGAGAGAAAAUGAUUCUUAAUUAAGAUAAAGUACACAAAUUCUCAACAAUAUUAUAUGGGCCCACUUUGAUUAACACUCAAUAAUGGCUAAAAUCAACAUCUUAAUUGGAUAGUAGGACCACAAAAUAGAGAGAUAUAACAUCAUUAACCAAUAGGCAUAGCAACAUAGAUUAAAAAAUAUAGAAAUAUAACAUCGUCAACCGUAGAUCGCCUCAAUAAAAAGUACCAUAUCAGCAUCAUGCAAUUACAAUGGUCCACCAAAAUGCGUUUUAAACAUAACAUGCGUCCAAAUUUUUCCACAAUUUGACAUCACGAGUAUGUUUAGCUAACAAACAUAUUCAGCAACCACCAACUAAAAAUUUGCCCUAAUUAAAAAAGAAUUGCAAAAGAACACACAAAACUGCAAUUCUCUUUUACUGAAUCCACAAAAACAAAAGCAUGCAUCUAAAUUAAGAUGUGUAGAGAUCUUCGCACAAUUGGAGACCAUGAAUCAAUUUAUUUAGCUAACAAUUAUUUCAGCAAUUGCCUAAAUACAUUUCCCUAAAUUAAAAAAAUUGCGAAAAACACAUGAUUUUUAACAUUAAAUUGCCACCAAAAUGCAAUUUUUCUUUAAUGUAGAGAUCUUCGCACGAUUGCACACAGUGAAUCAAUUUAGCUAACUAAGAAACAAAGUGAAAAAAAAAAGAUUUUUAACGAGAAAAUGCUCCCAAAAUGGAAUUUUUUUUAAUCAGAUUCCACAAAAAAGUAGUGCAUUUUGAACCUGGAAGAGGGUAAUUUCGUAAAAACAGGAUCGAAAAAGAGUACAAGAGGAGCAGGGAUCUCGCACGACCUACCUCAAACCCUAAUCUAGCCCCCCUUCGCCGCUCCCCUGCGCCCCCACUCUCCGGGGGCAGCGUCCGCCACAUCCCCGCGGCGAGCUUCCUUGCCGACAACGUCGGCGCCGCCGCAGCCGCCGCCUCUCCUGCCGCGUUCCGGCGCUCCGCCUCGGAGGUGCCGCGAUCCGCUUCGUGAAGCUUCCACUGGAGGUGGGGGGUCGCGGCGGCGCCGCCCCACCUCCGCCGAGAUCCGCCACCGCCGAUCCCCGGCGCUCGGACGCGGCUGCGGCGGCGUGGGACCGAUGCGGCCGCGGCUGCCGCGGCGCCGGGCGACGAUCGCCUCAUCGCACCAUCGCAUCCAACACCAUUGGCGACGAGAGAGAGCGAGAGAGAGAGUAGGGAUUUGGUCGAAUGGGGAGGAAAUGGAGGGAUACGUAUGAGGAGGAGGAGGAGGAGGAGAGAGAGAGAGAGGUAGAGAGAGAAAGGGGUUGGAGAGAGAGAGAGAGAGAGAGAGAGAGUGUUGACUAAGAUCUACCCGAGGGGUCCGGUCAUGUGGAUGUGGACGGGUAAAAAAGAUGAGGUUGGGGGGAGGUCGAAAACUAUAUNGUAAAUUAGUCUAAUUUUCCCUUUUAUUAAUUUUUCUUCAUGUUUGAUUAUCUUUUCUUUUUUAUUUUUUAGAAUUGGUUGACUUUAGUUGUAUAUAGAUUGAAGAUAAUUUUGAGCACUAAGUUAUUUUAGCCAAAAAAACACUUAAAUAUUUUAUCAAAUUUAAUAAUUUAAACUACUUUCAAGCAGGUAAAAUUAGACUAAUUUACUGAUAAUAUUUAAUAUAAUAAUUAAAUUUAAUAAAAUUUUUUACCAAACAAGUUCGAAAAUAUAGUUAAAUGAAUGUUUGACUCAAGGGUAAAGCUAAGGGGUCUAUUUAGCAAAUUAUGUCGUUUAAGGGGCCUCCAUGCAAUUUUGCGUAAAAAAGAGAGUAAGGUGAUUUUCUGUGUAACGUGCGCAUAUCGCGGUUACAUUGACUGGUUUGUGGGGCCCACGACAGUGGGGACCACAUGUUAGUGAUACAUAAACGUGAUAUAUAACAGUUACGCCGUAGAGUUCUCGGGUGAUGCGGGGACGAGACGUAUUCGUAUGUAAAUAUUUGCACGGACCAGGUCUAUAGACCGGACCAAUAGCAUUCUGGUAGACCGUCGCACCCAACACCGAUUGCAUGCAAACCCGAAGCAUGCGGUGUAUACAACGUACUAUUCCAUGCUUGUCUCAAUUACGUAUCCUUAUAAAGUUAUAAUAAUAAUAAUAAUAAUAAUAUAAACAUAUUUGUUACUGUAAAAAUUUACAAAUAUAUUUUGAGAUUAUAGUGGAAGAUUCCUACAUUUUUUGCAAUUAUAAUUUAGUUAAAUGCGAGAUCAAAAUAUAUCUCCUUAUAUCAGAGCUACGAAGGAGAUAAAAAUAAAUUAAUCUUUUCAAGUAAAAUAUGAUGGUUUUCAAAGUUUGAAGAGAUAAACAUGUUUGUUUGUAGUUUUAUAAUUUCAAUUCUCCUCUUUCAAAUUUUUAAUAUUCAACUUUUUAAUUUAUUUGAUUUAAGUCACUAAAUAAUACAUUGACAUUAAAUUUUAACCUAAUUAUUUAUUUCAACGUAUUUAUACCUAUAAAAAUUAUAUGAAGUAUACUAACUAAAUAUGUAAAGCGAAAUGAUAUAUAUUCAAAUUUUAAAGUCAAAAUAUUAUUGACCGAUUUAAAUUAAAUAAAUUAAAAGACUAAAUAGUACAAUUGAAAUUUUAAAAAAUUAAAUAACUGAUUCAAAAUUAUAUAUAAUUCAAAUAAAUUUGAUAUUUUUUUAAGUAAUAAAUAAAAAGGAUUUUUUUUUUUGAGGGAAGAAAAAGGAUUUAUAUUGAGAGGUGCAAAAGGUGGGGACAAGCACCAUCAACUAUUCUACACCACUGUUUCUCUUUUGGGGGCCACAAUUUGGCAUUUUGCUCGUGUCCGUAGCGUUUUGUUCCCUUCAAUGUAUAUCUCAAGCUGUAACAUAUGGAGGGUUAAUAAUGAAAUAUAUGAAUAGGGUGGCAAAUGAAUCCGGGUUAGUAGAGCUUUCGUCUCGAUCCGUUCCGAAUGGAGCAGAAUACAAAAUAUAAAAAAAUAUAAUCCAUUUUGAAUUCGUUUCGAUGCGCCAAGUAAAUAGAGGAGCGGGAGGCAAGAGUCCUUUUUCUCCCUUUAAUCCGCCACGAUCCGUCAAAAAUUCGCUAAAAAUUCGCUCCCAUACCGAUCCGCCCCAAAUACAACAAUAAGUGAGAGUCAAAAAUAAAAUAAAAAAUAACCCGUCUCGAAUCCGCCCCGCCUUGACAAGAAAUAAAGAAGGUGGGGGAACCCUCCCGCCCCCCGAAUCUGCCCCAUUUGCAUCCCUACAUAUGAUCACUACAACAGAAUUAGAUUAUAGGAACACAUUUUUGGAACACUUUUAUAUAAAUGUCCCAUUUAUGUAAAUUUUUUUAAAAAAUAUUUAUUAAGACCUAAAUAUAAAGACUAAUCCAAUCAAAAAUAAAAAAUUCUUCUAUUCAACCAACCGCACUCAGCCCACUCGAUUCAAUUACAACUAAAAAAGGAAAAAAAAAAGAAAAGAAAAAUUGAUCAUCCUCUCCCCUUCUCCUCCUCCGUCGCAGUAGCCGACGAGAUAGGGUUCCGGCGGCUAGAGUUCGGCCACGAGGAUCUCGCAGGGACCGCAAGCUACGAUCACCACAUAUCCCUCUGCCACAGGUCGUUGGAGGAGUGUGUCAAAUAUCAAGAUGGUUCUACCUAUAGCGAUCCCACAUAUAGCAACACCUUUAAAAAGUGUCGGUAAUUUAGCUAACAGCACUUUUUUGACCUGUACCGACUUUUAAAAGUGUCGUUAUAUACGGUUUUUGUUGUAGUGAUCGAUGCCCGAAAAGUAGAACAAAAAUAAUAAUAAUAAUAAUAAUAAUAAUAAUAAUAAUGUUUAUAAUAACUAUAUCUUGUUAAUUCUUGUUUAUUUUUAACAAAUUAAGGGAUGGAACUUGUUUAUUUAUGUAGGUAUUUGCACCUGCAUCACUAAAAACUUGUUUAUUAAUGUAGAAAAAUAAACAAGAAUUAACAAGAUAUAGUUAUUAUAAACACUAUAUCUUGUUAAUUCUUGUUUAUUUUUAACAAAUUAAGGGAUGGAACUUGUGUAUUUAUGUAGGUAUUUGCACCUGCAUCACUAAAAACUUGUUUAUUAAUGUAGAAAAAUUAGGAUAUUGAUCUAAAAUAACUUUUAUAUAGAUAGAUAUCUAUUGCAGAGAAAACACACAAAUAAGAAAGAUUUUUAUAUGCAUGCAUGUGUCACGAAUAGAAACCGUACAUAUAUGCAUAUUUUUAGGGGUAUAUUUACGUGCAAAACUUGAAUUAUUUUUCUUAAUUUUUACUAAUUAACCUUAGUAAAGCUCUAUAAUAGUUCGAAAAUAACCAAGAAUAGCUAAUUAUUAUCCAAGCAGGGUUGAUCAAGAGUCCUACAUAUUAGAGGUAUAUUUAUGAUUGUUUAAUUUCUUUUUUUAACAAUUAGACAAACUAACUAAGGUACCCAAAUUCAACAUCUUGGUUAAUUACUUAAAAACACAUUACUAUAUAUGAUUUGACCAAAACUUUCCAAAGCAUACAUAUGAUCGAAUUAACUCAUUCAAAGUCCAUAUAUGUAUAUAUUUUACUUCUUUUUUAUUAUUGCAUUGAUUGAAAACACGAAAAUUCUCACAUGAAAAGGGAGGUGGGGGGAGAUCGAGUGUGUGAUCACAUGACUCUGCCCCUGUUGGAUGGAGAGGGGGUGGCUUGUCCUUAUUACAUUAAAUUAAAGAAGCACAUAGCAUGGUGUGGUGUGGUGUGGUGUGGUGUGGUGUGUUGUUCUCUUCUCAUCCGUGAAGGGAACAUGCAUGUAGGCGUUUUCUUUUAUUCCAUGCAUGUUCAAUGAUAGCUUAAUUUAAUAAUUGGAGGGGACGGGUCACAUUUGUUUGGUAAGUAUUAUGAUUGUUUAAUUAAUUACUAUUUUGGAUGGUUUAUAUUUCAGGUGGUUUUGAGGUUGGAUGUGUAUUUUAAGCUCACAAUUCGAGCUCGUAAGUCAUGUUCAUGCUUUACAAUUGCGGUAGUCGUGUUAGUUCGAAGAUCAUAAGCUUAAAAUGCUUAUGGAAUUUAAUUACUUGUUGUUCGUGUUGCAUAUAUUAUGUUUUGUUGUGUUAUUUUUAUGUUAGCUAGAUAGCUUUAUGUUAUGCAGAUAUAAGUAGGACAUGUUUAUUGAAUCUCUCUCAAAAAAUUAAAUUCGAGCUCAAUUUGUUGUUUGAAUUUUUGAAUUUGAAUUCAAUUUUGAUUGUCUAGUUAUGAGGUACUCAGGGUUUUCGAUCUAGACUGAAUAAUCUGGUUCGUGUUUGAAGUGGUUUUACAUGUUAUUAAUCGGAUCCAUAUUAAAAUAGUUGGUUACAUAACUAACAUACCUAUCUUAUGUGGUUAGUGACCUAAAAAACUAGGGUUGUUAGCUCACAUGGCAAGGCCAAAUGGAGAAGUUAAAACUCAAUCCAUGUGCCAUAGGUUUAGCAUAUAUAGGAAGGAUUAAAUCAAAAGCAAAAUAAUUUUAGCUUAGGCAUGUGAUAUGAGGGGUUUCAUAUUAAUUUGCACAGGAGAAUAUUAGAAAUUAAAUUAAUGGUGAAGGGAUUAGAGAGAGAUUAAUCAAAACCACUUCUAGUAAUUUGGGCCAUUGGGAGGAUGAAAAAGAGUGCAUGUUUGGAUGCUUUGGAUACCAUAUAUGAAAUAAUUGAUAUAGCAAAAAUAUUGUAUAUUAUUGUUCUUUUGUAUUCAUUGGGAACAUGUACAACUCAAAGGGUUUGACUUAGUUGAGGGGACAAGAUGUGGAAGAAGCAAAUAAAUGUAUGAGCUUUGCGGUUCCAUUAUGUUAUUAAUUUAUUUAUUUUCCCUUUCUUUGCUUCAUCAAGUGUUCCAUAUUGAGAUGUGAGUAUGUUUUUCACACACAAAGGGAUUAAGUAAAAAAAUUUACUUUUAUAAUCUUCUUACCCCAUAAUCUUCUUUUACCAUUAAUUAGACUAAUAAGUAUUUAUAAAUGUAGAUUAGUAGAUAAUUAGCUUGGUUUUGCAUUAUUCAUUGCAUCUGAAAUUGCAUAUCUUCUUUUUUUUUUCUUUUUUUGACAAUUGUAUCUUAUAACUCAUGUAAUCGAUCUUAAAAAGGAAAAUAAUGAAACUCCUUCUACUCUAAUAAUAAGAGUGCGAACAGACAACAGAUUAUUGCUAAAGUCCGCAAAAUAUUGCCCUCAUGAGCUGAUGAUAUAUUGGCAUAUACAGAGAGUUUCAAUUAUUUUAUACAUAUACACAGUCACAUACGUCAUAUUUAUUUAUCGAUAUUUUUUAUAUCAUAGUGUUCUAAAAUUACUAUUUUGUAUCCAUUUCUUUGUUUAUGGCACAAAUGAAAUGUUUGUUACCUUCAUAUGGCAAUUCAUGUGCAAGCUAAAACUAAAGCAUCCCUCUAAUGGGCCGGGCCCAAUAGAGUCAUCAUUAGGCCUAAAUUAGGCCCAAGGGAUAAACUCGGGCCCGAGCCGAGCCCAAUAUGAGGUUAAAUUGAGUUGCAUUUUGGGCAUGAUGAUUUCUUUUUAUUUUUUAAUUUUCCGCAUACAAAUAAUUGAGAAAUAGGUUAAAGAAUUUUUUCUGAUCCAACCCGUAGGAAUCAAUAGAAAAGGCAAAUCCCCUAUGAUACACCACAUCAAAUAGCAAUGAUUCGAAGCACUUCUUUUUACAUUACACUAUUUCGGAAACCUAAGGACUCGAUCGUAUGGAUAUGUAAAAUACAGGAUUUCCAAUCCUAGCAGGAAGAGAAAUAGGUUUACUUCCAAGAUUGUGAUUUAUUUGAUACUCAAGAUAAUUUGUGUUAUAAAUAAAAGCAUGAAUAAAGUAGAAUUAAUAUUCCAAAAGUUUUCUAGAAGAGUAAUUAAUUUUCAUGUAUUCACUUUUUUUUGCACAUUUUCUUCUAGCCUUUUAUCUUUAUCUUACUAGCUUUUUCUUUCUUGCAUUAAUUUUUUUUUUUUUUACUUCACUAGCUUUGCGAAAAGUAGCCUAGUUUGGACACUUUUUUGCCUAAUCUUUAGCAAAAAUAUACAACUUCUCCAAGUUGGAAAAUAAAAAUGCAAUUUCAGGUUGGGGACCAAUUACCCUCAACUCAUUGAAAAUCAAUAUUUUAUGCAAUGACAUUGCCAAUUUUCUUAGUAAUAAUCCCUUUCUUGAAAAGAAUUCUAAGUCAAUACUCAUAACUAAGAAUGGACCAAAGAAAUCAACUAUAUAUAUUUAUCCAUAUCUCCUUAUGCUUUUGCAAAAUAAUGCUAUCAUAUACUAGUAUAUAUAACACAUAAAAAAAAAAAAAAGCACCCAAAAGAGAAAAUAUAAUGGUUGCGUCUUUCUCUCGCUCAUUCUUUUUUGUUGUUUGUACGUAAGCCAUGACAAUAGUGGCAUCGCUGCCAUAAAUCAUAACAAUAGUACAUAUUUCAGGCAUAUAUAACCAUCUGCUAAAGAGAUGUAUAUAUAUAUAUAUCUGCUACUAAGUACAGUAAAAAAUCAUAUUGCAUGACCUUAUCAUACGAAAAGUUCUAGUUGUACAUCCCAAAAAGGGGUUUAAAUUUCAUACACUUUCAUCCUAGAAUUCGUAAAUUCUUUCAUUUGACCGCUCAUUCUUUUUUUGUUUUUUGUACGUACGCGGUGACAAUAGUGGCAUCACUACCAUAAAUCAUAACAAUAGUACAUAAUUCAGGCAUAUAUAAUUAACCAUCUACUAAAGAGAUGUAUAUAUUGUUAGGAUUUCCAUAUUUUGUGGCCCAAUUAAUCAUAUUUAAUUAGGAUUUGCUAUAGAUAAAGGUCAAUCCUAAUAAAUAUAGAACUACUUGAUAUGGUAUAUUUUAUCCCUAUCCCAUCUAUUUAAAGUUUAAAUAGAAUCCUAAUCAGACUUUGAUGGGAAGUCGAUCUGGACUCUAUAUAAAGGGGUAUUGGUCCUGCCACCUUCAUAUACGCAUUCUGGUGAAGAAUUACCAUCGGUUCCACACCAUACGGCAGAGUGCCUGAGAUAGGAGGAGAAAUCAAAUCACCCAAGUUCGGUUCGUGACUUUCAGAUCGUAGCCGGACUUCCAGCUUCCGCAAGAUUAAUCAAGAAUCUCUUCUUUAUGGCGCUCUGUGAGUUAUUUUAUAUUCUUGUUUUGAUCCUGGAUUUUUGGUAUGUAUUUAUUUGCGGUUUUGUUUUACAUACCUAUAAAGUUCCAUCAUAUAUAUCUGCUACUAAUUAAGUACAGUCAAAAUUAUAUAGCACGCUAGCUUUAUCAUAAGAAAAGUUCUAGUUGUACAUCCCAAAAAGGAGUUUAAAUUUCAUACACUUUCAUCAUAGAAUUCGUAAAUUCUUUCAUUUGGCCUGACAAAAAUCAAAUAUUGGCCAUUGGAUGAAGGGGAGUAAAAUUUAUAGCUUUUUUUGGGGUGUAUGGAUAGCGUUGCUCUUUUUAUAAUAAUUUGAUUACAAAUUUUCUCACAUGACUAGUUCUUCAUAUAUAUAGAAAGAAAGAAGUAAGUAAUUAGCAAAAGAGACCAAGUAAAAAGUUGAACAUGAGAAGAGAUUUUAAUCUAAUUAAGAUACCUUGGAAGCAUAGUUUUCACAUUUGAAGUACUAGGAAGAUUCUUUUGUCAUGUCCCUUUACACAUUGAUGGGACCAUCAAAUAGUUAGGUAGCUAGAAACAAAUCAAAAAUAUUGUGCAUAAAACUAUAUAUACAAACUAAUUAUUAUGGGAAGGGUUUUUUAAGUUUCUUUUUUCAAGUUACGUUCUUUCAUUUUUCCCACUAAUUAAACCUCUCUUGUAUUAAUAUAAUUUUCACUCUAACUUAGGCAAUUUGAUCACAUCUUGAUCUCUCCACUGAUAUGCCAUGUUCAUUCUUUCAUUAAAUAAUACAUAUAUACAUCUUAAGAGAGAGAAUGAUAUAGAAAAAUAUAAUUGAUUGGUUAUAUAUAUAUAUAUAUAUCAUGUGGGCAAUUUAGAUUUUUUGAGAUAAUACAUAAGUGUUUAGAAUAUAAUAUAUAAAAAAGAGUCCUACUAUAUUUUAUUUGUUUAAGCUAUUAAUUAAAAUAAUCCAAUUUUUCACAUGAUAUUUAUAUCAAGUUCUUUAUUUUAUUUAUAUUCUUCAAUUAUUUUCGUUAUAUUCUCCUAUUUCAUUUAAACAAAUAAGUACUAGAGCUAUUAAAAUCUUCAGAAUAUGUAAAAACAAAAGCUAAAAAUUCUAUGCAAUCUUAUUUAAAACAAUUAAAUGAAUAAAUUUUUGAUUUAGUGACGAGAGAUAAAAAUAAAAGAGAGAUUUGGUAUACAAUAAUUAAAUCUAUCAUGCAAUAACCAUAUCUGAUAAUAUAAUUUUAUGUACUAUUAUUAAAAAUAAUGAUCUCUACAUAUAAUCAUAUUUUAUUUUUUAUUUUUUUUUUUACAAACUGAUUUAUUUAUUUAUUUAUUUUUUUAGUUUAAUUUUUUUUAAAAAAAUAUAUAUCUACAUGCGGCACACGGUUUAAGGACUAGUCCGCACUAUAUUGCAUGCCGACAAAAGUACGAUAAAAUUAGUUGAUUGUAAGUUUCCGUAUAGAAACUUCUAUGCGUACGUCACGAAAGAUAAAAUUAGAAUUUAGCCAAAUCCGACUCAUUCUAUUUUCUCUAGAAAUUUAUUUGUAUAUAUAUCCCUUCUAGAAUAAUAAUAACAUUAACAAUCACCAUGAUUUAGAAUGUUAUAAGUAAGAUUAUUUAUUUAUUUAUUUUGAAGAGGUUAAUACCCUAAAUUAGGCGAAUUAAUCACCAAAAUGUCUAAAACACAUUAAAAUACGUACCCAAUAAGUUAUUUUUAUGGAGUUGUCACUUUGUAAUCUAGCUUGUUUACUGAUGUAUCAAUAAUAUUCUCGAUAAUAUGAAUAAUAUUAUACUAUUGUAAAUAAAACUAAAAUCAGAUGAAGAGAGCAUUGAUAGACUAUUUCGUAAUCAAGGUGCGUCGACUAAACAUUAAUUUUGUGUUAUAGUCAUAGAUUCUGGGAAGAAACUACGUUCACACUUGCUAGAAAAAAGGAAGAUCCUUUCGCUGAUCCUUUCGCUGGCUCCUGUUUCACACCGUACAAUUAAUCAUUGUUACAUUUAGCUUAAUUUAAUUUACUUGGUUUUGUUCACUUACCAAUUAUACAAAUCCAUCCCACUGUUUUCUUUAAAAAAAAAAAAAUUAAAAAGAAAAUGAGGGGUUUUCAGAAGAGUUAUUAAUAAUGGCUCAAAUAAAGUUUAUCAAAAGACUUAUUAAUUUUUGCUCAAAUUAAUUGACAUGGUCUUGGUAUUGUUAAUUGGUCAUUUUUAGUGAAAGGAUUAUGGACUAAUUAUUAAAUAAUUAUAUUAAUAGAUUUAAAUUAAGGGUAAAUUUUAAUUUGCUCUUCAUAUAGUAUAACAUGUACAUUUUCACUUUUGCUACUCUAUGGCUUUAACUUUUUUUUCCAAUGAAAAAAAAAACCUAAAUUUUUAAAAUCAUAAGGUGCUAGACUCUUUAAUAAUAAACUUUUACAAUAAAAACAUUAAGUAAAAUAAUAAUAUUUUUAAAUAUAAUUUUUUAAACUACGACAUGACAAAAAUACGCAAAAAUAAAAUAAAACAUUACCUUAAAAAAAUUUACUUUACCCUUAACAUAUUUUUUAAAUAUAUUAAUAAGGGUUAAUUUAAUACAGGUCCCUACAAACAUAGUAAAUGACAAAUAUAUUUCUGCAAAAUUCAACUUUAUAUGUUGUCCCUACAAAAAUUCUGUUGUCAAAUAUGUCUCUAUUGUUUGCUAUCGUUAGAAAACCAUUAAAAAAAUAUUUAUAUUUUCAAUUUUACUAUCACAAAUAUAUUUCUUCAAAAGUCAUAACAGUAUAAUAUAAGAGGAGUGAAAAUGUCAAAAACUAAUCAGAAUUAAGUAUUUAACCAAUGAUUAAUUAAUUUUUUCUAACAAAUUCUAACGACAUAAACAUAUUUGAAAAUAUCGGAACUUUUAUAGAAACAACAUAUAAGAGUUGAAUUUUAUAGAAAUAUCUCCAUCAUUUACUAUAUUUACAUGUAUCUAUAUAUAAAAUUAACCCAUAUUAAUAAUAAAUAAGCAUAGAGGCAGCUGGAUAAUAUCAUCUCACCAGUAUCCACGUGGCAAUUAAAAAAAAAAAAAACUACUGCGCGUGCAAACACAUGCGGGCCACGUGUCACGUAGCGCAUCGGACGCAAAGAUUCCCGACAAAAAUCCCCGUUCACACGUAUCGCGAUCCCCCGCGCGGGGCGGCGCCGACGUGGCACCUUCGGUGUGAGGGCCUCGGGCUGCGUGACGUCGCACCGGUCUUUAGUAGGAGAUCAUAUUUGCUGACACGUAGGAACCCGGUUAGCCGUCCCACGUGGCGUUGACCGUUGACCCUCCCAUCACCACCACCUAUAAAUACGUAGCCGAUCCUCCUCCAAUUGAACCUUCGCCGUAGCACUAAAUUCCACACCAAAUAACCCCCCAAAAAAAAAGAAAAAAAAAAAGAAGCAAAUUGAAUCGUUCUAGCGAGGGAAAGAAGAGAGAAGGUAUGGGGAAUUGUAUCGACUCCCGAGGCGGCGCGACGUGGGUCGACGACGACGACUGGGGAUUCUCCGACGAGGAUGAGCGCAAGAGGAGUCCGUUGCUCGGAAAGAAGGGAUCGGCGGCGGCGGAGGCGGCGGCGGUAGGCCCGAGAGAGGUGAAGAUUAAGAUCACGAAGAAACAGCUGCGAGAAUUGUUACGAAAGGCCGAAGGCAAAGGGGUGCCAGCCGACGAGGUCGUGGCGGAGCUUGCCUGGUUUGUUGAGUUCGGCCGCGAACAUCGCGAAUCGCAUUGGAAGCCCGCGUUACAAAGUAUACCGGAGACCGGAGAGUAAUGAAAAUGAAAAGGAAAAAAAAAUUGUAGCAAUGAUGAUGAUAAGUUUGGUUCUUUGAUUCUUUUUAGAAAUUUUUUCUUUUAUGUUUUUAGCAGCAUUUGUGGAGUACCGCUUUUUAGCAGUUUCUCCUUUGGAGGGUGGACGUGUAGAUUUGCAUAAGGUAGUGUAAAUAUAUAGAUUUGGAAGGAGAAAUGGGGAGGGGGGAUAUGUUGGUUUUUCCAUUGUAUAGAUCGUAGGUUCGUAUCUAUGUAUUACGGAUAUUUCUAUAAGUCUUGAGGAUUCGUGUCGGACUCAUAUCCGAUGUGGACAUUUUUUAGACACGCGUUCAAUAGUUAUCUAUGGCGCAUACAUUUUAAAUAUAUAUAUAUAUAGUGAGUUUACUAUGCUUUUGGAAGCACGGAGCCUUCCGUACUUUUAGGUCAUUUUCGAAGUUGCGACUUUCGAAUCGUCGAUCGGCUCCAUUAAACUUGAUCUAGAGUAUUUGAAGUAACUAGAAAAUAAAUUUUAUGGUUUUUUGAUAUCAUUUGUCUAGUGAUCAAAAGGGCUCAAAAUCAAUAAUUUUAAUGGCCAUAGUGAACCGUUUGUAAGUUUAACGGUGUAGAAAUAUCCAAAUCACAUGAAAUUUUGAUAGAAAAUUCUUUAUACUAUAUAAAACAAGAUCAAUAUCUUUGAUUUAAAAUUUUAAUGUCAUAUUAUCAAGUUUUGUAAGAUUUUUAUUUUCAGCCGUUGAUUUUGAGCCCCUUUGUUCAUUAGGCAAAUAAUAUCGAAAAAUAGCAUAAUUUAUUUUCUAGGUACUUCAAAUACUCUAGAUCAAGUUUAACGGAGCCGAUUGACGAUUCGAAAGUCGCAACAUAGAAAACAACUGGAAGCACGGAAGGCUCCGUGCUUCCAGAAGCAUAGUAGCCUCGCUCUCUUUCUCUCUCUAUAUAUAUAUAUUUAUUUUAUCUUUUUUAUACAUAUCCUAUAUAAAUGAUUAAUAUUUUAGCUUUUUGAUGAUUGCAGAUAAAUUAUUUUGGACAAUAUAAAUAAAUUUGAUCACACCUUGACCUCUCCACUGAUAUGCCAUGCAUGUUCAUUCUUUCAUUAAAUAAUACAUAUAUACAUCUUAAGAGAGAGAAUGAUAUAGAAAAAUAUAAUUGAUUGGUUAUAUAUCAUGUGGACAAUUUAAAUUUUUGAGAUAAUACAUAGUGUUUAGAAUCUAAUUAGUAAGUAGUGAACUUGAAUAGAUGAGCACAUAAUAGCAUCUAGUAUGAAAAUUCUUCCUGAAUAUAAUAUAAAAUAAAGAGUCCUACUAUAUUUUAUUUGUUUAAGCUAUUAAUUAAAAUAAUCCAAUUUUUCACAUGAUAUAUCAAGUCCUUUUUUUUAUUUAUAUUCUCCAAUUAUUUUCGUUAUAUUCUAAAAUUUCAUUUAAACAAAUAAGUACUAGAGCUAUUAAAAUCUUCAGAAUAUGUAAAAACAAAAGCUAAAAUUUCUAUGCAAUCUUAUUUAAAACAAUUAAAUAAAUAAAUUUUUGAUUUAGUGACAAGAGAUAAAAAUAAAAGAGAGAUUUGGUAUACAAUAACUAAAUCUAUCUAUAACCAAAUCUGAUAAUAUAAUUUUAUGUACUAUUAUUAAAAAUAAUGAUCUCUACAUAUAAUCGGAUUUUAAAUUUUUUAUAUUUCUUUUUACAAACUGAUUCAUUUUUUUAUUUUUUUUAGUUUACUUUUUUUUUUUAAAGAAAUAUCAAAAUGCAGCACACGGUUUAAGGACUAGUCCGCAGUAUAUUGCAUGCCGACAAAAGUACGACAAAGUAGUUGAUUGUAAGUUUCCGCAUAGAAACUUCUAUGCGUAUGUCACGAAAAGAUAAAAUUAGAAUUUAGCGGAAUCACCGGCCGUCCCUAGAACAAGUCGCAAAGGGCUCGGUGAUUGGUACCCGAGACUCAAGUUCGAAUCCUAGUUGAUUCACAUUUCCAGCUGAGUUUAUUUCUAAAUGAAAUAAAUGAAACGGAUAGCAUGCUACCUAUUUCUCCAAAAAAAAAAAAAAAAAAAAAUUAGCGAAAUCAUACUCAUUCUAUUUUCUCUAGAAAUUUUUUUUGUAUAUCCCUUCUAGAAUAAUAAUAACAUUAACAUUAACAAUCACCAUGAUUUAGAAUGUUAUAAGUAAGAUUAUUUAUUUAUUUAUUUUGAAGAGGUUAAUACCCUAAAUUAGGCGAAUUAAUUACCAAAAUGUCUAAAACACAUUAAAAUACGUACCCAAUAAGUUAUUUUUAUAGAGUUGUCACUUAGUAAUCUAGCUUGUUUACUGAUGUAUCAAUAAUAUUCUCGAUAAUAUGAAUAAUAUUAUACUAUUGUAAAUAAAACUGAAAUCAGAUGAAGAGAGCACUAAUAGACCAUUUCGUAAUCAAGGUGGGUCGACUAAACAUUAAUUUCGUGUUAUAGUCAUAGAUUCUGGGAAGAAACUACGUUCACACUCGCCAGGAAAAAGGAAGAUCCUUUCGCUGGCUCCUGUUUCACACCGUACAAUUAAUCAUUGUUACAUUUAGCUUAAUUUAAUUUACUUGGUUUUGUUCACUUACCAAUUAUACAAAUCCAUCCCACUGUUUUCGAAAAUGAGAGGUUUUCAGAAGAGUUAUCAAUAAUGGCUCAAAUAAAGUUUAUCAAAAGACUUAUUAAUUUUUGUAUGCUCAAAUUAAUUGACAUGGUCUUGGUAUUAUUAAUUGGUCAUUAUUAGUGAAAAAAUUAUGAAAAAUAAUUAUAUUAAUAGAUUUAAAUUAAGGGUAAAUUUUAAUUUGAUCUUCAUACAGGAUAACAUAUUUUCACUUUGCUACUCUUCCAACGAAAAAACCUAAAUUUUAAAAUCAUAAGGUGCUACACUCUUUAAAAUAAUAUUUUAAACUAUGACAUGACAAGGUAAAAAUACACAAAAGUAAGAUAAGACAUUACCCUCAAAAGAAUUUACUUUACCCUUAACAUAUUUUUUAAAUAUAUAAAUAAGGGUUAAUUUCAUACACGUCAUGAAUGGCAAAUAUAUUUCUGUAAAAUUCAACUUCUAUAUGUUGUUUCUAUAAAAAUUCUGUUACUUUCAAAUAUGUCACUCUGAUUUAUUACCGUUAGAGAACCAUUAAAGAAAUAUUUAUAUUUUCAAUUAUGUCAUUACAAAUAUGUUCCUUCAAAAAUAUAACAGUAUAAUAUAAGAUAAAUAAAAAUUUCAAAAAUUAAUCAAAGUUAAGUAUUUAAUCUAUAGAUAACUUAAUUUUUCUAACGAAUUCUAACGAUAAGAAUAUAUUUGAAAAUAUCAAAACUUUUAUAAGAACUAUAUAUAAAAAUUUAAUUUUAAAUAAAUAUAUUUAUCAUUCACUAUAUAUAUCUGCAGUAUCUAUAUAAAAUUAGCCGUUAUUAAUAAAUACGCGUACAGCUGCAUAAUACAAUCUCACCAGCAUCCACGUGGCAAUUGAAAAACAAAAAUACUAGUGCGCGCGCGAACACAUGCGGGCCACGUGUCUCGAAGCGCAUCGGACACGAAGAUUCCCGACAAAAAUCCCCGUUCACACGUAUCGCGAUCCCCCGCGCGGGGCGGCGCCGACGUGGCACCUUCGGUGUGAGGGCCUCGGGCUGCGUGACGUCGCACCGGUCUUUAGUAGGAGAUCAGAUUCGUUGACACGUAGGAUCCCGGUUAGCCGUCCCACGUGGCGUUGACCGUUGACCCUCCCAUCACCACCACCUAUAAAUACGUAGCCGAUCCUCCUCCAAUUGAACCUUCGCCGUAGCACUAAAUUCCACACCAAAUAACCCCCCAAAAAAAAAGAAAAAAAAAAAGAAGCAAAUUGAAUCGUUCUAGCGAGGGAAAGAAGAGAGAAGGUAUGGGGAAUUGUAUCGACUCCCAAGGCGGCGCGACGUGGGUUGACGACGACGACUGGGGAUUCUCCAAGAGCGCAAGAGGAGUCCGUUGCUCGGAAAGAAGGGAUCGGCGGCGGCGGAGGCGGCGGCGGUAGGCCCGAGAGAGGUGAAGAUUAAGAUCACAAAGAAACAGCUGCGAGAAUUGUUACGAAAGGCCGAAGGCAAAGGGCUGCCAGCCGACGAGGUCGUGGCGGAGCUUGCCUGGUUUGUUGAGUUCGGCCGCGAACAUCGCGAAUCGCAUUGGAAGCCCGUGUUACAAAGUAUACCGGAGAUCGGAGAGUAAUGAAAAUGAAAAGAAAAAAAAAUUUGUAGUAAUGAGGAUGAUAAGUUUGGUUCGAUCUUUGAUUCUUUUUAGAAAAUUUUCUCCUUUUUUUUUUUCUGUUUUUAGUAGCAUUUGUGAAGUACUGCUUUUUAGCAGUUUCUCCUUUGGAGGGUGGACGUGUAGAUUUGCAUGAGGUGGGUGUAAAUAUAUAGAUUUGGAAGGAGAAAUGGGGUUGGGGGGAAUAUAUAUGUUGGUUUUUCCAUUGUAUAGAUCUUAGGCUGGUAUCUAUGUAUUAUGAACAUUUCUACAAGUCUCGGAGAUCUGUGUGGGACUCAUAUCCGAUAUGGACAUUAUUUUAGACGCGCCGCGCGUCCAAUACUUAUCCAUAGCGCAUACAUUUUAUAUAUAUAUAUAUAUAUAUAUAUAUAUUUUACUUUUUUCAUACAUAUCUUAUGUAAGAUGAUUAAUAUUUUAGCUUUUUGAUAAAUGUAUAUAAAUUAUUUUGGACAAUGUAAAUAAAUUAUAUAUAAUAGAACUUUUUUAAAAAAAAAAUAUUUGAACUAUCAAUGAAAAUUUUAUAUUAAUUUUUAUUCGUAUGAAAAAAUAUAAUAAUAUUUUAUUAAAAUUAAUAUUAUAUAUAUAAUUAAUAUUUACUAUUAUAUUAAUAAUAUUAUAUUUUACUAGCAAUGUACACGUCGUGUUCGUGUUCUAAUUUUUUAAAAACUAUCGAGUCGCCGUGUUCGAAUCGUGCCAUGUCCCGUGUCAGUGUUCGUUACGUCUAGGUUGGUAUAUAUAGAGUAUAAAAAUAUUUACCUAUCUCCAACUAUCAUGACAACUUAUUAUUGACUCUCCAUUUAAUCUUAUUUCUACUUUCAAUCUUUAUUUAAUGUGAAUAUCCUUCAAAUGGAAGGGUUAAUUGGUGAUUUAAUGUUGCACAAGUCAUGUGAAAAAAACUUUCUAGAGUCUCCCAUUCAGCACAAAUUUUCUGCAACAGCAGUGUACAGAAAAUUUUUACACACCGGUCGAUCUCGCAAUGUAUGAGAAGACAAGAUCGAUCUCACCUUUCAAAUGAGCCGCAAAAUUAAUAACCAGAAGAAAUUUCAUGCACAUCGAGUACGUGGUCCCUGGUCGACUCCAUAUUUUAAGAGCUUUUCAAUGGAUUUUCAAAGAGCCGGUGCCACUCUUGGGGUUCUUGUCGCCGCGAACUUGUACAAGGACUUUGAUGCAAUCUAACAAGAUCUUAGCAAAAUUUUCCAAAUGAGACAACAUAGCAGGUGCGAGCCCGAUCACCGCAGAAGAGAUCGUCGUCAAGAUCAAUGUCUGUAAAUAUGCAAAUGGUUGGUGGUUCUGCACCAAAUUUAACAGUAAAGUGACAUUGACGCGAAGUUGACAUAUCGAUCGGUUGAACAGUGAUUUCCGAUCAGACUUGCGCAGUUAAAACACGAUACUGAACUUUACAUUUGCUCUCAACCACACUAUUAGAUCUAAAAUUGGUUCUCUCUAUACAGUGCAUUAUUACAUAUAGCUUACAAGAAUCAUGUUCCAUACAUAUAGAAUGUUAAGGACUACAACAAAUGAGCUUCUACAAGAGAUUGCUGAUCACUUUAGGCUUUUCGAAACCUUUUCUACUGCCGAUAAUGGGACCAAAAUGUUGAACCAUUCCUUUCCAUCAAUGUACCGAGUUAAGGACUAGAUCUGUUAACUUGAUUGCAUAUACCGCGGAACAUCCGUGCACAUAUAAGGUAAUGAUUAUAGAGGAACAAGCUAGCGUUGAAUGAGUAUUAGAAGAGACAAAAACAAAGACAUAAGCACUGGAGACUUCAUAUCCAUUACAUAAACACCUGAAAAGCAAGAAGAGGAGGUAAGCUGAUGGGCACAAUAAAAAUAAUUGUCGAGUAUAAUACGCAAAUCAGAGAAAUGCAGAGCUUGUUUGUGAUCAAUUUCAUUUGUGUUCUUUCGGAAUUGUCAUUGUAUGUGGUCCAUCUUUCUUUAACUUGGUCAGGUUAGUUUCAACUUUCAACCAACUAAUAGCUAAGUGCAAUGAAUUUAAAUUUCAGGUGGUAAUUGUUCCAGAACAGUAACCUAGAUCAGGUAACUUUAAUGAAGAGAAAUUUCUAUAUGGAAAUCUAGUUUAAGAAGUAUUAUAACUACAGUUGCACGAGAAGAAAAUAAAUGAAAGUUUUUAUCCAAGGGUAUGCAAGAGGAAAAUUAUAUCAUAUGAAAAAUACAUUAUAUGCUCAAGAAUCCAAGUAAUUAACUUACCAUGUUGUGCAGAAGUUGCAGCUGGAAGUGCAGGAAAAUUAGUCGCUGAAAAGAUAAGAAAUAUCGAAGGUUACAGCCCAGACAGAGAGAGUGAAAGAAAAAAAAAAAAAAAAAAGAUGAUUGAGGAAGUAGGAAGCAAGAUUAGCAGAGCUGUAGAGGAUUUCAUCAUUCUUAACCAUGCCUAUUACCUAUGGAACUCGUGCUAGGCAUAUAUACAUGCGCUUACUGUAGAUUAGUACAUGUAUGAAAUUUGGAAUUUAGCUGAAACUAAAAAAGGGAUUGUGCACAUUUAAGUGUGAGUAUGAAACAUGCUAGCGAAUUAGGCACACAAGUUUAAAGCAAAUAGAGAACAAGAAAAAGGUAAUAUCAAAUGACGACAAUUAUGACAACAUCUCUGGAGAAUGCCAAAAGCACACCAUUUAUAUUUCACUUAAAUGAUAAAAGAUACCAAAAAGAAUACUAGAAUCUGAGCCCUUUCAAUUAAGGGCCUGUUUGGCCGGCUAUAGCUUCUGCAGUAGUCUUGCUUGAGUAGGCCUUACGAUACUUUUUGACUAGAAUCUCCUCUACAGCUUCUCGCUGCAGCAGAAGCAGAAGCCCAAAAAAGGAGACUUUUGGGGCUUAAAAGCUUACUUUAACUCCUUGCCACAACAAAAGAUCUAGAAUAUUGGUUAGCCAAAUGCCUUGAUUCCAGAAGUUUUUUGCUUUUCGGAGGAGUUUAGCGAUUCAGAAGCCAAAGUAGACAGGCACUGAUGGAAUCUUUUUGUUAUUGUACUUGAAGAUGCAAUAGUUAUAAGGAUAAACAAGUUGAGGCAUAGAGCAGUGACAUACACUUAUUGCACGAAGACGCAGAAGCUUGAGAUGAAGAGGGCCAAGGAGCUGCAAUAUUGUCAUUUAGAUCGCAAGUGAAACUAAUCCCAGAUGAACGGUCGAAUGUGGCAUCAGAUGGCAAACUUGGCAAGAGGCAUCCAGAUUCUGGAGCAAGAUAUUGGAAAUUAUAAUGAAGCAAAUUAGUACGUCAUUUGAUGAUAAAAUAAUGUUAAAAGAUUAUUCAAAAUAACCAAGAACACGAUGUACGAUCAAAAAUUUAAAUGACAUGUAGGAUUAAGAUAAAUGUAGGAUUAAGUUUUAUAAGAGUGUCAAAUCAUUCUUUUAGGUAACCUACAUAUUGUACUUGGAGACAGGCAUUCCGACUUACCAUUAAAGACCUCAGAAAAAAAUGAGUGAGAAAAUUUCUUGGUUAAAACUAUUGAUAUCUCUAAAUAAUCAACUUAGUCACACAAAAUUCUUCUAAGACUAUAUACACUUACUUAGCAUCAGAAUUUCAUAAAAUUCCCAAACCAAAAUAUAAGUGUGAACACUUAAAAAACAAGUUAAGAGCCCGUGUUGUUCAUUUACCUUCGUCCUUUUAUACUCUUGCUAAGAAAGCUUAUGAAGAAUCCUAAUUAAUUUCUUUCCCCCAGAAUGUGAAUUCUCCCAAUAUGUCCAGAUUUAUGUUUCAUAUAAUGAGCACGAAUGACAUGGAUAUAAUGCACCAAUCAAAGUUCUAUAUGGUAAAAAAACAUGUACUGUUUUGCAAUUCUAUCAAGAUAAGAUUGCUACAUCAAGUCAAAUGGCAAAUCAACUCAGUUAGAGCUACUUUGCUUAAAGGACAAACAAAAAAAGAAAAAAAAAGAGCUGCAUUACAGAAGUGCAUUACAUGGAAAACCUUUAAGUAAUCUGGAUCUUGCUCAAGUAAUAAAAGGAUAGUGUAAGAUAAAAGAAAACCAUAUGACAAGUAAACACCGAUACCAAUAAAAAUUUCUGAAAUCAAUCCAGUACAACAUAACAUUUGAAUAGCUUUAUUUACCUUGAGAGCCAACUGGUUGACAGUUCCGAUCAAUUGGCAACAACCGCGAAAGAAAGGAAAGAAGAAGAAGAAGAAGAAGAAGAAACAAUCAGUAUAUUAAUUUGAUAAAUUCAUAAAUCACCGGUACUAUAGAGAGACAAAAGCCAAAUAACUAAGUUUGACAAGGCUAACCUUGGAGAGAGAAGUCCUUAAGAGUUAUCUGGCACAAGCUGUAAAUGUUUGUGCUCACAUUCAUAUCUUGCAACUUUUGACCGAGCGAUGAGGCACAAUCCAGCGCUUGAAGAUUAGUUAUAAAGCUCUGCUUUUGCAAGUGAGAUACAUAGUUGUUCAUAGCAUUGCAGCACGAACUAUGGUUCGUGGGGCUUUCACCACAAGCUUUUGCAACCUUAGUAGUGUCUGGAAAAUCUAAUGGACAAGCUGCAAAGUGAAAUAAACAAUUUCAAACAAGACAUACACAUAAUCUUGUGUACUGAGGCAGCUUCACAAAUAGAUCAGCAGUUUGUAAAUUCAAAUUAUUCAAUAGUUCAGGAUCAUCAUAAUUUACCUCCAUUUACGUUACAGUUAGAUAUCUGCCUAAGUACUUGUUUCGCUGACGAAGCACUGAGCCUGCUCGACAACCAUCUGAGCACAAUGUCUCUGCAACUAUCAACUACAGAUGAAUUCUGAAGCGUCAAACCACCAUCGCUCAAAGCAAGUUUCUUAGCCGAUUCAUAAACAGCAUUCUGACAUAUUUGGCUACAGCACUCAUUGACUGAGUCAACUUUCCCACAAGCAGCCAACAGUUUCGAAGAGUCCACAAUGCUCUCAAACCCGUUAAUAUCAUUUACAGGACAAGACCCCCUCGUGAGGUUUGAGAAGUUAAUCGAGCAUACACUUUGGAGGUCGCUGCUGCCGCCUUGGCUUGCUAGAAGCUGUUGAAUAUCCGAGAGGCAAAAGUUUGCAUGAGUAGAAUCCAAGGCGAGCAAUCCUGUACUUUUGCUUGAUUGCCCAAUAAGAAUUGUUAUCAUCGCCUGAAGCUGGGGGCAACAAAUUACAUUGGCUAAGAAAGGGGCAAAAGAGGCGAAGCAAUCAACUGCAGUGGUACUCAUCAAACUGUCAACAGCUGUGAAGUUUAACGAGCAUUGCCCUAAACAAGAAGCAAAUAAUGGUCAGUUCACAUGUCAACAAGGUUCUUUCUUCUUCAGAGUAUACACCCCUGCAUUUGUGCAAAUUGCAUGAAUAGCUAGACGAAGUUGGUAUCUGUGUGCAUGUCUCUGCCGGAGGUAUCUAUGCACUACGUCUUUUGCAUGUACACCCCCAAGCAAGGGUCAAAUGCAAAUAAUUAUGGUUUCCAGGGGCAAGUACGCACACAGCAGUUGCAAAAUUUCACAUAUAUUCAGGUGUUAUUUAUGCUAAUUCUUUCCGAAACACAUGUAUAAAAAUAAUUUGUUUGUAUUUUUUUUUUUUUUUAAUUCCAUGAAUGCAACUCUACCAACUUGUUUUCCCUCGGAAUAUGACCCCAACCUGAUAAUUUUGGUGUGCUAUUGUUGAAAAAUGGAGCCAGGGGCGCAGGUGCAAGAAGAGGAAUGAAUGGUUGAGGGGCAUUGCUUGGAGAAAUUUCAGGCAAAAGGGGGGCAUCUGUUUCUCUAGAGUAGUCCACAUGACGCACUUGAGGUAAGCUAUGAGCAACUGUGUUUUCAAAUUUGAAGAAGAGUUCUUCAAAACCUGAAUGGUAAGUAAAAGCACAAUUAUUGGAAGUAAACAAAAUAACAUUGUGAUCUAAGAGUAUAUGUAUAAGCUAAAGAAUGAGAAAAUAUCUCCAUAACUGCAAUGAAAAAUACAUUAAUCAUACAAGACCUCACACAGGAUAGGAUGUACCACAUACAAUUCUAGACGAUCAGAAACAGGAAAUGGAACACAUCAAAGACAGUAAUCACAUUAAGAGUGGAGUGAUUCAACAAUGCAUUAAUCUUCUCUUAUUUCUAGCAGUAUUACUGUAUCAAGAAAAGCCCAUAUAACACAUUUAUCCUUUCGCCACCCAAUUUCUCGAUAUUGUCAUACCACAAGAUGGAAAAGAACCUGAUUUCUCUAAUUUUCCAGUUUCUUCCCCAGUUAUGCAACUCUGAAGAAGCACCAAAUUGGGGAUGACUUGUGCACUAAAAAUGGGGACUUGGUAAGUUUCUGUUGCAGGGAUUCUAGUUUAUCUAAUUCUGGUGUUUCUAGUUCAUCUUAACCCUGGAGUUCUGAUGGGCGCACCACAAAUCCUAGCUUAACUUACUUUCAUAUUUUGGGACUCUUACUACCAAGUUUAGAGAGUUGCGAUAGGGUUAAACUCUAAAAGGAAAUGAUCUAUUUAAAAGUAAGUAACACCACAAUGUAAAGCGCAUAUAAACGAAACAAAAAUUUAUCCUAGAGAGUUGUUAUGGACAAUUUCAUCACUAAUUACAGGAAAGGAAAAUUACCCCACAAGCAGGUUACAGAAACUCAACAACCACAUAGCCUAAAGUAUCAGGACACCAUGCGAAACUUACUGAUAUUUUUACGAGGCUAGAUUGAACAUCAUAAACCCUAAACAAUGUGGAAGCCAAUUUCGAUCUAUGCUAAAAAUAGCAUCUUUUUAGCUACAAUUGAUAGCACAGGAAUGCUGACCUAGAUAUUUAAGACCUGGGAAAGUACCCAAUACACGAAUUCUUCAAAACUAUAGUAAAUGAAACAGGUGAGCUAAACCAUUACAAACCACACGUAAACUCACAUUGGCACCAAAAUCCCCAAUACCCAUACCUUAGUUGCUUUAAGCUCUUCUUCUCGAGCUCCAUAAUGUACACCAUAAACCCUAGAACAUAAAUGUCUUAGAAAAAUCCCAUCUUUUAACUAAAAUUGACAGCUCAGGAGUAUCAAACCCUAGAAAUUUAACACUUUGGAGCGAACCAAAGCAAACAAAACCCUAAUUUCCCUGAUCAAAACCACCACAAAACACACUUAAAAAACCCCCCCAAUGCCCACCAAAUCCCCCACGACCCACCUCCCAAAACCCACCAAAUCACCCGAAAAACGUAAAAUUUACGCGAUUUACCCACGACCCAGGUGACAAAACCCACAGAUCAAGCUAAAAAACAUAAACUAACACCAACAAGGACAAAAAAAAAACCAAAAACAAAUCCAUAAAAAAAAAAAAAACAAACUAAUACUCACAUAAAAGGAGGAGAAGGGCACCAAGGAGCCUCGGAGUGAGAGGAACCAUCGUUUUUUUCCCCCUUUUUCUCUUUUUUCAAAAAAAUUCGAGCUCAAAGUGUUGUGCUGGAGAAGCUCAAAGCGAGAGAGGUGGAGGUGGUGAUGGGGACUCCACACUCCCCCCAUUAAAUUCGGUGCGUUUUUAUUAAUUGCGGCGGUUAUUUGACAUUCCCCACUGUUUGUUAAUUUUUAUUUAUUUAUUUUUUUAAAAAAAAAGAAGUGUCAAAGUGCUUUUAAUAAGUGUCGCAAGUAAGCUUUGACUUUUACUUAGUUUUGUGAUAAUUCAACUUGUUUAUUAUCACUAUUAUUAUUGUCUUUUAUUAAUUAUUUUAUUAUUUUUUGGGGGAAAAGUGGUGUGUUACUUGUCCUUGAAUAAAGGAUUUGGGAUAACCCUCUUUCUUUGCUAAUUCAUUGACUCAUUUAUAUAUUUUAUUCAACUUUGCGGACCAAUAUUUUGAAUAUACGAUAAUUAUGAAAUGUUUAAUAAAAGAUUAAAGUAUCAUCAAUAAUAGGUGAGUAAUGCUAUGAUUAUAUGUAAGGUCUAGGUCUAAACGUCACGGACACUUAUACAGAAAACGAGAUACGACACAACUCGGACACUGCGACUCGAUAACAUUUAAAAAAUUAGGACAGAACACGGAUAUGACAUAAACAUCGUUAAUAAAAUAUAUAUAGAAAAAGUAAAAUAAAAAUAAGUAUUAUAUAUUUUUUAGUUGUAUGCACUGUGGAUAUUGGUGUUAAAAGGACGUCCAAAAAGUGUCCACAUCGGACACGUGUCCGACACGAACACGCACGCAACCGACACUAACACCCCAGACUUAUAGAAGUGUCCGUGAUACAUAGAUCUAUGUUAUCAUAUAAUUUAUCUAAUUGAAUAAUUAGAUUUUGUUAUCUUACAAUUUAUAUAUCAUUUUAACUGUGACCACAAUUGCAUUUUCGUAAAAUAAUGUAGAGAUUAUUAUUUAGCCAAAAAAAACAUUUUGCAUAGUAUGAUGAUGAUGGUUUACAAGGUAAAAGUAAAAAACAAAUUUAUUAUUACUUCACAUAUAUGGUUUAUGGGGUAGCUUUUCUAAAGAAGCUCUUGAGGGGAUAAAUAAGUUCCAAGUGCUCAUUUGGCCUAACAUCUUUUCUAUUCAAUAAUUAAAAUUUGAUAGCGUGACGUAUCAAAAUAAAUUAUUCCAAUGCAAAGCCAAAAGUUGAAGAAUAUUUUGAGGCUUCAAAAGCGAAAAAAACAUAACUAUCAAUGCACAACUUAUUCCAGCUGUAUUCGAAUAGACUUUUUAGACCUAAUUUUGCUGUCAGAAUAAGUUACUUGGUAAUAUAAUAUUCAGUAUGAAAAUAUUUUUUUUGUGAUUAAAAGUUAAAAUUGUAAUUAAAUGACUAGAAUGAAAUAUGUUAUCCUAUCAACUGAUGAAUGUCGGAGCCCUUCGAAAAAUAAAAUGUAAACUUCUACCUUCCAAUUACAGAAUAUUUUUAUAUCGAAUAUAUUUUCAUCGAAUAACUUAUUCUGACACCUAAAACAAGCUCUAAAUUCUAAGCAAAAUUCAAGCACAUUCACAAACAUGUGCACUCAUUGGACUACUCCAUCCACAAUUUAAUGAAAUACAAUUUCCUCAUAACACUUUUUCUUCCAAAUGAGUAAAUUUUGGGGCCACAAUGUAGUCCUCAAUGAGUUGGCAUGUCCAUAACACAAAAGCAUUAUCACUAUUAUUAUAAGCUUUUAUUGCAUACACAACUAGUCACAAGAAUAUAAUGGAAAAGUGUAGUAAGUUGUUGGGCUAGGAGAAUAUUUUUGUACAACAAAAAUUUUACUAUAUAUAACUACCAAAAUAUCAAAUGAAAGCUACAUUUGAUAGAAACAUAAGCAAGCAUGUUUCUUUAAGUGGAAAAUGUAUCAUGAAUUUAGUUUAUUUUAAAUGAGUUUUUAUGAAGGCAUUAAUCAUCAAUAAGGAUGUGUUAUUGUAGCUCGUGGCUUUUCAUUUUGCCUUUUAUUUAAUGUGACUCAAAAGCUUUAUACCAUUGGCAAUAUAUGUUUUUCUUUCGAAUAUCCCAAAACCUUUAAUAUCAUUUUUCUUGCUCACAUUUCCAGCUAAGUUUAUUUCUAAAUGAAAUAAACGAAACGGGUAGCGCGCAUGCUACCUAUCUCUCUCAAAAAAAAAAAAAAAAAAAACUAUUUUGCCAACAAAAUCAUAUAAAAAUCCUCAUCUUGGGAGUUUAUCUGAUGUUUUGCGACAGAGUUUUAUAAUAACAAAACUAAUCUUAAUUGUUAAUACUAAUUUGCUUUUGAGUCUCCUUUUUCCUGAUCAAAAGCGAAAACUCCAAAUUAUUAGUAAGUAUUUAAUUUAUAGAAAGUAAACUCAUACUCAUUUUAUACUUUACCAUGACUUAUAUAUGCAAUAAAGUGCAUACAAGUAUGCAAUGCAGCAAUGAAAAGCAUGAGCUUUAAAUACAAUGCAUUAAAUUUAUCCACCUAGCUUGAUCUCAACACAAGUGGAUCGACACCGCGAAAGCCGUAAAACCUACAUUUCUAAAAGAGAUUUUGUGGUAAAAUUUUGCACCGUUACGGUACACGAUCAUUUAGCGAUAAUUUCGUAAAUAUGAUCCAACUCUAAGAGUUGAUAAUAACCUUAAUCCAAAAUUAGCAUCUAUUUCAUCCAAUUUUUACCUUUUCUUUUAGUUUAAGUUAUCUACCACAAGAGUCUUUGACAAUUAAAAAAGUCUGAAGCAUCUGCUGUAGAGAAAAAUGAAAGUGCAAUAUCGAGGCUCGAAAAGAAGAAGGGAGCGCCUUAAGAGAAACUUAUGGGAACAUUAUGUAUAAUGCUUCUCGUAGCAGCACUUCUGUAAAACGAAAUCAUAUCUACAGCACGACCAAACAGGCUCUUUAUUUUACUAAUCAGUACACAAGGACAUGGGCCGCAGUUGAAUGUGAUAAAUUAAUGGACUGGGCCAAAAUUAGCCCACUAUCAACUUAAAGUACAGCCCAGUUUACUGGGCCAAAAAUAAUUUUUGGCCCAACCCUUUUAAUUUUAGUUUCAAAUUUAAAAAUUAACCUCUCUUUUUUUUAUCAAACAUUGAAAAUAAAUAUUUCAUGGAGGUUAAGUCACGCCGCUGAUGUGUGGUGGACCACCAAAAUCACACGGACCAAAGCCAUGCGAAACACCGUGGCAACUCCACGUGCGGUGUACGGAUAUACUUAUUCCUACCUUGCCACGUGGGAUGAUCAUAUCCACUGGUUAUGUUUUGAUGGCAUUAAAUGCCGUUCAUAAAGAAAACGAAAAACCAAAAAAAGAAAAGUUUGGAAUUUUGGCAUAAUCCAAUCGUAAUUUUCAAUAAUAUUAUUAUAUAAAUUCAUAAGAACGGUACUUAGUACCACUUAAUUAAAGCAGUUAAUACGAUAUUAGCGUAUCAGCAAUUCAUAAAUACUCAAAAGUAAUACUUUAAAAAUUUUUUUAAUUAUCAUGAUCAUGAUGAACUAAGAGAGAUUAUUGUUGACAACAAAAGUACUUUGAUGCUCAAAGUUGGGUAUUAUAAACAGUACGCUAAAAUAUUUAGAGCUCAUUUGGUACUUGGUGCUAUAUAAUAUUAUUGGUCUAACAAAAAUUAAUUAGGACACAAAUAUAUAGAUAUAUAUGUCUCUCUAUGUUUUAAUAAAUUAAAAUAGAAUCUUUGUAUUGUAGGCAACAUGAUAUUUUUUACGAAAAUAAAUAAAAUAUUUUUAUAUUGCGUUAUUUCAUCAUAUGUAACACAUUUUCUACGACUACGAUACGGACCCAACGUGCACAAUACUAAUGGGACAUUAGAUAGGGAUCGUAUGGGCUUGAGCUCGCAUAAAUUGUACUAUUUGAUAAAGACAUGAUUCUAUAAUUUCACCUAAAAAAUCGAAUUUUUUCUCCAAAUAUAAAAAUUAUUAAACAAAUUUAAUAUAAAAUUUAUUCUGAAAAGAUAUUUUGAAUAGAAUAUAGCAUUUUUGCACCCAAGAGAACAAGACUAUUUAUACAGCACGGUUCAUUAAAUUAAAGGUAUAAUUAUCUAUAUACCCCUCGGACGUUUGAAAAUAUUCGAUUUAUCCUCUUUUUUUUUUCUUUCUAAAAUACCCCUCAUAUGUUCCACCGUUAUUACAAAAUACCCCCACAGUUAUCUCCUGUUAAGUUAACUUGAGUUAAACGUGAGUUAAACAUCUACCACAGUUACAAAAAAUUAAACUGCCAAUUUUGCCCUUAACUUAAGGGCAAAUAAGAAAUAUUGGUGACAGUAGAGAGGUAUAUUGAAAAAGACCAAAAGUCAAAAUAUUUUUUAUACCCCUAACUUUAAGGGCAAAUAAGAAAGCCAGUGAUGGUGGAAGGGUAUAUUUGAAAGGGCAAAAUAGUAAUUUUAUAGAGAUAACAUACUUAAUUAACAGAUUUUAACUCUAGAGGUAUAUUAAAAAUAGGUUGGAACGUAAAAAGGGUAUUUUCAAUAUUAGCCUUCUGAAAGGGGUAAAUCGAAAAGUCGGAAACUUUUCAGGAGUAUUUAAACAAUUGCCCCUAAAUUAAAGAUUUAUUAGUAUUGAAUAUUUGUCCCCAAAAAUGGGACAAUGAAAUUAACCACUACAUGCAUAAUUACUUAAAUAAAUAGUACACCAAAUAUACAUUUCUUUAACUUUAAUAUAUAUGCCACAUCAUAAUUGGGAACAUGCUUUGGUUAAGAUUUCUAGGGAUCCGAGAAAUAUAAUAUAUAUUUAUAUAUACAUACAUUUUAAAAAAAAUAAAAGUACAGUUAAAUAAUUUUCUAAAAUAAGAAAAAAACAAAAUUACAGGAAUAUUAGAUUUUGAGCAUCUAAAUUUUUGUUCUUAUUCGCGAAUAGAUCUCGUUUCCACGUGUCAAAUUUGUAAGGAAAUGUACCCCAAAAUACACAUGUUUGAGGAUCUUUUUUGUUUGGGACUCUAAAUUCCAAAAAAUUUAAUUAUUAUUGCUAAAUUAAAUUAAUAUAUAAUAACUACUAUGUAAGAAGUGAAUAUUACACAUACAUAUAUCUAAUCCUUUUAUGCUCAACUACUUUAAAAUAGCCAUAAAAAAAAAAUCAAAACCAUCUAAACUUUGAUGAUUCGACCGAGCAUUUUAUUAAUUAA